rnacentral:tRNA from 1 species
AAGGAUUUAAGUUAAAAAAACUAAUAGCCUUCAAAGCUAUAAAUAGAGGGAGCUUUAAGCCUUA